rnacentral:lncRNA from 12 species
AAGAAUAAUACCAUAUUUCUUUGUCUUUCCUGUUUUGUUUUCUUCCAUGUCCAGAAGUAAAUUUUAGGGCUCUCGGUGAUAGCUAUUUUAUAAAGUAGAAUGGGGAAACCACCACAUAAAGUAUGUGGGGAAAUUUGUCAAGGAGAGAAGAAGGAAUUGAAAGAGGCAAAGGCACCUCAAUAAAAUCAUGGAUUAACCACGGAGCCAGGGACAAAGUGGAAAAUAAACAAGAGAGGGAGAAAGGAUGGCACAGAAAAACACAGAAGUGAAAGGACGGGGCUCUACAUUCUUCUUGUGUCUCUCACACCAGCACACAGCACCGUGCUCCCAGACCAUGUAGACCCCAGGGAUGCAGACCAUGCUGAUUCACCUGCGCCUCUCAGGAAACCUUUCACUGACAAGCCUUCAGGAUGUGUUUGCUGAUAUUCGCCAAGAACAGAGGCUUCAAAGACGUGUAUGUUUGGGAACAAUUAAGAAGCUCAUCUGGCUGAGCAGAGCCUCAGUGGGCAGGGAACCCUGGCCUAUUCUAAUUUCAUAUACUUUUGGAAAAGUACAAGGAGGGAUUCCAGCUGGCCUGUGUGGACCUUGUUUGAUGGAUGGCCACUUCACUGGUUCUCUCUCUGCCAGCUCCAAAGGAAACACCAACCCUUAUUGCAGAUAAAGUGACUUAUCAACCACCUUGGGCAAGAGGCCAGAGAGCAGGGCUGAUGAGCAGUGGAAAGCAGUUGUUCCAAGACUCUAAUCAACGUGCAGCUCUUUGAGGAAAAGAUGAAUGAUGAGGGCAUUUACUUCAAGAACUGGAUGCAGGGCUUUUCUAUUCCUCUUUUACAACAGGAGUGGACCCAAGUUUGAGUCAGCCUGGCACCUAAUACAGAAGAUUUAGAGGACAACAAGCCCAUGGUCACUGUGUGCUUUUGGGGGAAAGUGGCUAAAGAGCAGCUUCACAAUAGUCGUAAAAAAUGAUGGUGGGGUGCCUGAGUGGCUCAAACCGUUAAGCGUCCAAUUUUUGGUUUUAGCUCAGGUCGUUAUCUCAGGGUCAUGAGAUCAAGUCCCACCAGG